rfam:Heligmosomoides polygyrus genome assembly, scaffold: HPBE_scaffold0002439
GCGCCGGUGGUGUAAUGGCGUAGAGCAUUCCCGCCCGGUCAGAGUGAGGUGCGGGUUCGAGUCCCGCCUGGCGCU